GCCAGGCACGGUGGCAUGUGCCUGUAGUCCCAGCUAUUUGGGAGGCUGAGACUGGAGCAUCUCUUGAGUCCAGGAGUUCUGGGCUGUAGUGCGCUAUGCUGAUAGGGUGUCCGCACUAAGUUCGGCAUCAAUAUGGUGACCACCUGGGAGCGGGGGACCACCAGGUUGCCUAAGGAAGGAUGAACCAGCCCAGGUUGGAAACAGAACAGGUCAAAACUCCCAUGCUGAUCAGUAGUGGGAUCGUGCCUAUGAAUAGCCACUGCACUCCAGCCUGGGCAACAUAGCAAGACCCCAACUCU
rnacentral:SRP_RNA from 1 species